rnacentral:rRNA from 1 species
UACGAAGGGGGCUAGCGUUGUUCGGAAUCACUGGGCGUAAAGCGCAUGUAGGCGGUUCGUAAAGUCAGAUGUGAAAGCCCUGGGCUUAACCCAGGAAGUGCAUUUGAAACUCACGAACUUGAGUCCCGGAGAGGAAGGCGGAAUUCUCGGUGUAGAGGUGAAAUUCGUAGAUAUCGAGAGGAACAUCGGUGGCGAAGGCGGCCUUCUGGACGGUGACUGACGCUGAGAUGCGAAAGCGUGGGGAGCAAACAGG